ACCAACCAUAAAAUUACUUCAUUGCUAGC
rnacentral:piRNA from 1 species